rnacentral:rRNA from 1 species
AGCAUAUCAAUAAGCGGAGGAAAAGAAACUAACAAGGAUUCCCCUAGUAACUGCGAGUGAAGCGGGAAAAGCUCAAAUUUAAAAUCUGGUGGUCUUUGGCCAUCCGAGUUGUAGUCUGGAGAAGUGCUUUCCGCGUUGGACCGUGUACAAGUCUCUUGGAACAGAGCGUCAUAGAGGGUGAGAAUCCCGUCUUUGACACGGACUACCAAUGCUUUGUGAUGCGCUCUCAAAGAGUCGAGUUGUUUGGGAAUGCAGCUCAAAAUGGGUGGUAAAUUCCAUCUAAAGCUAAAUAUUGGCGAGAGACCGAUAGCGAACAAGUACCGUGAGGGAAAGAUGAAAAGCACUUUGGAAAGAGAGUUAAACAGUACGUGAAAUUGCUGAAAGGGAAACGCUUGAAGUCAGUCGCGUUGGCCGGAACUCAGCCUUGCUUUUGCUAGGUGCACUUUCUGGUUGACGGGCCAGCAUCAAUUUUGAUUGUUGGAUAAAGGUUGGGGGAAUGUGGCACCUUCGGGUGUGUUAUAGCCCUCAGUCACAUACAACAGUUGGGAUUGAGGAUCUCAGCACGCCUUUAUGGCCGGGGUUCGCCCACGUUCGUGCUUAGGAUGCUGGCAUAAUGGCUUUAAACGACCCGUCUUGAAACACGGACCAAGGAGUCUAACAUGCCUGCGAGUGUUUGGGUGGAAAACCCGAGCGCGUAAUGAAAGUGAAAGUUGGGAUCUCUGUCAUGGAGAGCACYGACGCCCGGACCUGACCUUCUGUGACGGCUCCGCGGUAGAGCAUGUAUGUUGGGACCCGAAAGAUGGUGAACUAUGCCUGAAUAGGGUGAAGCCAGAGGAAACUCUGGUGGAGGCUCGUAGCGAUUCUGACGUGCAAAUCGAUCGUCAAAUUUGGGUAUAGGGGCGAAAGACUAAUCGAACCAUCUAGUAGCUGG